UACGUAGGGACCAAGCGUUGUUCGGAUUUACUGGGCGUAAAGGGCGCGUAGGCGGCAAUUCAAGUCAGUUGUGAAAUCUCCGAGCUUAACUCGGAACGGUCAACUGAUACUGUUUUGCUAGAGUGCAGAAAGGGCAACCGGAAUUCUUGGUGUAGCGGUGAAAUGCGUAGAUAUCAAGAGGAACACCUGAGGCGAAGGCGGGUUGCUAGGCUGACACUGACGCUGAGGCGCGAAAGCUAGGGUAGCGAACGGG
rnacentral:rRNA from 1 species